AUUCCAAAUCCUAAAUCCCGUAGGAAACCUUCUCCGCCUCCUUCAACCAGAGCAACUCAGAACCAGAGCAGCUAAUAAGUUAUGGAAUCCGCAGGGUAUUGAUAUACUUACUAGAGUUUUACCAUUAGUAAAGCUCAAGUUUAUUGAGUUUCAAACAGAAGUGAGUGAGAUUGUGCUCAGGAAAAUUGGCAAUUUCAGUAUCAAGGAUUAGGCCAUUCCUGCACAAAUUGUUCCGGAGCUAGAGCUGCUUCCCUGAUGAGUCCAUGGCAGGAUGAAACCAGUAGAGCUCAAGCUGAUGAAUAGCAUACGUGGAGGCUUACCCCUUAUCAAGUGUGAUGUUGGGGUGCUGCACAGGCCGUUCCGCUGCGUUGAAACUCUAGGCCCUUGACAAAAGAUAAGGGCACAAGAGGGCUUGCAGUAAAAAGUGCACGAGAGCAUGGACUUUUUGUGUCUAUUAUCAGCACAAAAUUCAGUUAUAGACACUACAGAAUGAAAAAAAUUGCCUUUGCUCGCUCGGGGGGAAAACCAGAGAAGAAAUGUUAUCCCAGAUAAAAGAUUCGGCAUUCAGCCUCUACUUUUUGAUUUAUUUUUUAAUCAUUAUGGUCUUCCACAUGAAUUCCUCUUGUAUAGAUUAGCAUAGAUAAAAUUGUUCUUUAAUAUCUCGUUGCUGAUUUGUUGUAUAUCCUAUAUAGAUUAAACAAUGUGAUAGGGGUUUUAUUACUGAACUUGACAGUCAGUACAGAAGCCAUUCAUUUUUCCUUCACUUUGUCUCAACUGUGAGGAAAUGAACUUCUGCCAUUGUCAAUGUAAUUGAAGCAAUUGAGAUUAUUUAUUCUAAUUAAACCAAGUAUCUUAGGGAGAAUCAC